GCAAAUAACGCGGGAGCAGCCGCGGUAAAACGUGGGAGGCAGGGUGUAUCCGGAGUUACUGGGCGUAAAGCGGACGCAGGCGGCUGCGUAAGUCGGACGUGAAAGCUCCUGGCUCAACUGGGAGAGGUCGUUCGAAACUGCGCGGCUUGAGGUUGGAAGAGGAGAGCGGAAUUCCCGGUGUAGUGGUGGAAUGCGUAGAUAUCGGGAGGAACACCAGUGGCGAAAGCGGCUCUCUGGUCCACACCUGACGCUCAGGUGCGAAAGCGUGGGUAGCGAACGGGAUUAGAUACCCCGGUAGUC
rnacentral:rRNA from 1 species